rnacentral:hammerhead_ribozyme from 1 species
AUCCAGAUGACUAGUCCCAAAUAGGACGAAACGCGUGUCCUGGAU